AAAAAUUGAAGUUCUAAUCAUAUUUUCCACAUCCUAAUGGAUCUUCUUUAACCUCCCAUGUUAGAAACCUCUGAUCUAGGUGGUACAAGUAAUAUUUUCCCAGUUUUACAAAUGAGGAGCCUGAGAUCCAGAGAGUGGCCAUUUUUGCUUUUUAUCUCCCCCCAGCAGAGCUCUGAGUCUGGGACCAGGAUCUGUUCCCUAUUAUCUGACUCUGAGGCACUUAACAGUUUUUCCUCUGGAUAAGGAUAGCGUUCUUUCUGAGAGAG
rnacentral:lncRNA from 1 species